AGAGUGUUAUCUGGAAUAAUUGGGAGUAAAGCAUAUGUAUGUGGCUUUUUAUGCUAGGGCUCAACCCUGGACAUGCAGUGGAAACUACAAAGCUGGAGUGCGAUUAGGGCAGAGGGAAUUUUUGGUAGAGUGAUGAAAUGCAUAGUGAUAGGAAAGAACAUCAACAACAAAAGCCCUAUCAUGGGCCGACACUAACACUAAUAGAUGAAAGCUAGGGGAGCAAAUGGGAUUAGAUGCCCCAGUAGUCCUAGCUGUAAACGAUGGGUACUAGGCGUUGUGCCUAUCGACCCAGCCAAUAUUGUAGCUAAUGCAUUAAGAAUCCUACCUUGGGAGUAUGUUUGCAAGAAUGAAACUUGAAUGAAUUGGUGGGGGCUUGUACAAGUGGUGGAGCAUGUGGUUUAAUUUGAUGUAAAACGAAGAACCUUACCAGGGCUUGACAUGCCGCUAAUCCUCUUGAAAGAGAGGGGUGCCCUCUGGAACGCGGACAUAAGAGGUACAUGGAUGUCGUUAGCUCAUGCCGUAAGAUGUUGGGUUAAGUCCCAUAACAAGAGCAACCCUUAUGUUUAGUUGCCACCAUUGAGUUUGGAACCUUGAACAGACUGCUGGUGAUAAGCUGGAGGAAAGUGAGAAUGAUGGCAAGUCAUCAUGCCCCUAAUGGGGUGACACACGUGUUAUAAUGGGCAUGACAAAGGGUCGCGAUCUCGCAAGGAUGAGCUAACUCUAAAAACCCAUUCUUAGUUUGGAUAACAGGCUGUAACUCGCUUGCAUGAAGUUAGAAUCACUAGUAAUCACCAGUCAGCCAUAUGGUGAUGACUUUAUCCCUAGGCCUUGUAUACACCACCCAUUACACUAUGGAAGCUGGCCAUGCCCAAAGUCGUUACCUUAACCGCAAGGAGGGGGAUGCCAAAGGUAGGACUAGUGACUAGAGUGAAGUUGUAACAAUGUAGCCGUACUGGAAGGUGGGGAUG
rnacentral:rRNA from 1 species